rnacentral:rRNA from 1 species
UACAGAGGGUGCAAACGUUGUUCGGAAUUACUGGGCGUAAAGCGCGUGUAGGCGGUUGGUUAAGUCGACUAUGAAAGUCCAUGGCUCAACCAUGGAAACGCAGUAGAUACUGGCUAACUGGAGUCCCGGAGAGGGUGGUGGAAUUCUCUGUGUAGAGGUGAAAUUUGUAGAUAUUGAGAGGAACACCGGUGGCGAAGGCGACCACCUGGACGGGUACUGACGCUGAGACGCGAAAGCGUGGGGAGCAAACAGG